GGCAGUGCUAGCUCAGUGGAUAAGACACUAGACUUCUGCCUGGAAGGUCAUGAGUUCAAAUCCCAGCGCUGCCA